rnacentral:antisense_RNA from 1 species
GAUUCUUCCCAAUUCUACCGCCACCAUUCUGGUUCAAGCUACCUGACAGAGUCUUGCUCUGUCACCCAGGCUGGAGUACAGUGGUGUGAUCUCGGCUCACUGCAACCUUUGCCUCCUGGAUUCAAGCGAUUCUCCUGCCUCAGUCUCACAAGUAGCUGGGACUACAAGUAAAACAUGCACAGAGCAAAUUUCGGUUGUAUCCUAGAAAUGAUAGCCAUAUUCAGGAUACUGGUUACACCUGACGAAACAUCUCCAUGAAAGUUAAGCAUACACAGGAUCUCACUUUGUUACCCAGGCUAGAUAGAGUGCAAUGGUGUGACCACAGCUCACUGAAGCCUCAACCUCCUGAGCUCACUUUUAAGCAAUCCUCUCACUUCGGCCUCCUGAGUAGCUGGGCCUACAGGCAUGUACCAACACUCCCAGCAAGUUUUUCUUAUUUUUUGUGAAGACAGAGUCUUGCAGUAUUGCCCAAGCUGGACUUGAACUCCUGGCCUCAAGCAAUCCUCCCAUCUAGGCCUCCCAAAGUGCUAGGAUUACAGGCAUGAGCCACUGUGCCAAGCAACACUUGCAGUUUUUAAGUGAAAAUGAUCCUGUAAAUAUACAUAUGAAUAAAAUCUAGAAAGCUAUA